UUCUAAACAAUUACCAUUUUCCAACUGCAAAGUGGAUUUGUUCUGUAGGAAAUUAACAAUGGUGACAUUGGAGUGUUGCAAUAUAGUGGGGAAAACAUUGACUUUCAAAGGCAAAUAACUUGGCAAUAUACUUUUUCAAACCUCAGUAUCUGCAAUGUUCGAUAACUCACUAGAUAGUUAACUACGGACAAGUUAUCUAAUUUCUCUGAAUCUCAGUUACUGUCCUUGUAUAAAGAAGGGACUGAACUUUGAUUCCUACCCAACUUAACAUUACCUUAUAUAAUAUCACAACACAACUUUGGGACAAGAUUUGGAAACGAUGGUUAGUCAAUGGAUGUGUUCUGUUUCAGCUGAAAAGAUAAUUGCAAAGCAACUGUAUAAUUCUUCAAAGUAAGCCACAAAUCUCAUAAGCAUCAAAUUCAGCCUUCAAAUCAAGUUCUAAAAAAACCCGGAAGGACCAAUGUUCAUAUAGUUAGUUCUAGUUUAGAAAGAGAACACUGUCAAAAUCUCUAAUUGUUGACGCGCUACUAAAAUUAUUCUAUUCUGCUACUUCAAUAAGUCUAUAUAGAUUUUAAUUUAUUAGAAUAAAGACCAAAUAUAUGGGUUGAUUUUUUUUAUAUCCAGUUGACAAUAAUUUGCCUAGAAAAAGGCAAGUUAGGUUUAUCUCUGAUUACUGACUAUUUUGAAUUGGAAGUUAUACUGAGAGAAAUAGGUGGGUUCACCAGUUUAUCCGUCUACAAGAUAAUCACGACAGUAGGUUUGGCGGCCACGGAAUCAAGCUGAAUUCAAAGUUGUGAGGCGGAAGCGUAUCCCUUUUCUUGUUGGCCAACAUGGUUCAAUGAACAGACGGUGUCUAAAAGAAGCAGAGCCUUCAAGUCCAGCUCUCGUUCUAAAUCUAUUCCCUGCUGGCUUAUCUCCUGGUGGAGUAAUAAUAACAAUCAUGAUACCAGCAUCGUGCCAUUUAAAACUAAGAAUAGCCCUAUGAGCUGGAUACUAUUACUGUCGCAGCACAGAGGAGCAAACUGAGCUUCAGGAGCUGAAGUCACUUAGGCGAGUGACACGAGCCGUCCGGGACUCUGGGACGUGCGAAAGAGGAGCUGUGGGAGGCGUGGCGUCUGCUGAAGUACAGCGAGCUGGUGAUGGAAGAUCCAGACAGAGAGGUCCAAGCAUCCUGUGUCAACACGGGCGGGCACACGGCAGCAGAAACUCUGCCUUCCUAACUGAACCCCAGGGAGAAGGAACACCAUCAGGAGAGAGGGUCCCGGUGAAUACACAUCGAGGGAGAGAUUCUACUCCCUGCAAGCAAUCAAUUCGUAUUUCACAGGGCAGCAAGCUGUUCAUCUUAGCUUCAUUUUGAUGAUACAGACUAUCAUGUUAUCUUUCCUUCUUUAUAAGUCCUUGAAAUAAUGACAUCAUUUACCAAAAUCAAGGCUGACUGAUUUUCAGGACUUUUUUCCCCCCAUGUGGUAUAGUAUGUGAGGACUACAGGAAAUUCUAGGAUUAACUUCACGGUCCAUCCCUCCCCCCUUUAUGAGCACUUAUGACUUAUUUCUCGCUCUGUAGGUAUCAGCUGUGCAGCCUUACAGAUGAGGAAAUCAGAAGGCUUUAACGUGCACAGGACAGAAAAGCAGCCUGAGUGCCACCAUCCUGGGUGCCGUUGCUACGUGUGGAAGGUACCCCGAAACCCCGUUCUGACAGGUAACGGAGAACCUGCUUCAGAAAGCCUGUGGUUUGCAUAAUGAAGAGCCGAUUAGAAAAUGGGGGCAUUAAGGAAAGUAAAAUAGGAUUACAGAUAAAGACAAAGACAGAGAGGGGGUAAAAGGAGUUGAUGGAAAAGAGCACCCUGGAUAUAGCCUUCCAUGAAGAAGAGAAAAUCCAUGGAAGAACACUGACAGGAAGGAAGUGAUGCGCAUUCUUCCAGGCACCUGGCGAACGAGAGAUAAAACCAGCCUGGCAGGUGGGGGGCUUUCUAGCUGCAUGAAUCCAGGCGUGCCACACUAGCAUUUCCUGAUGCAGUGUUGACCUUGGAUUACUGAAAUCACCUUAAUUCCUAGCAGUAAACAAUGCUGACUGUGGUAUUAGCUGACUCUUCUGGAUGGAAGUCAUUUUCUUGGUUCAAGUAAGGAAACCAGAAUACUGUGUUCUUGUGCGUAUUACUCAGCCCUUUAAUGAUUCCCCUUCAUUCUAUUGCAUUUUAAUUUGGGCCCUUGGCCAUUAUCAAAGAAGCAGCCAUUUGAAAAGGACCAUUGCAUCUGCUUUACAAAUAUUGCUGUGGACGCUGCCCUUUACUGUAUGAAGGCUCACUGGAGAACCUUCAUUUAGAAUUUAGCCUUAGGAAAAGUUUAGUUCUCUUAAAGCACAGUAUCCUUUCUACUUUCUUACUUCCUCAUGAUAAUGUUGUAACUGACCAUCUUACUUUAUUAUUAUUAUUAUUUGCCUAUAAUGUUUUUGGUGCUAUGUUUCUGUUUUUUUAUUGUCUGUUUUUGCUUAAAGCUGUUUCAAAUCCUUUGUGAAAAAAGAAAUAAAUAUGUAUAAAAUACGGAGUGAAUAUUUUAAUGUAAGUAAUGGC